AAAUAAGAAACAAAAUUUGUGAUUAGUUUCGACCUAAUUCUUGGGAGCCCGUCUACCCUUAUUUA
rnacentral:tRNA from 1 species